UACAGAGGGUGCAAGCGUUAUUCGGAAUUACUGGGCGUAAAGCGCAUGUAGGUGGUUUGGUAAGUUUGAUGUGAAAGCCCUCGACUCAAUCGAGGAAGUGCAUUGGAUACUGCCAGACUGGAGUGCAGGAGGGGUGAGCGGAAUUCCUGGUGGAGAGGUGAAAUUCGUAGAUAUCAGGAGGAACAACGGUGGCGAAGGCGGCUCACUGGACUGUAACUGACACUUAGGUGCGAAAGCGUGGGGAUCAAACAGG
rnacentral:rRNA from 1 species